GACGAACGCUGGCGGCGUGCUUAACACAUGCAAGUCGAACGGAAAGGCCCUGAUUUUGGGGGGUGCUCGAAUGGCGAACUGGUGAGUAACACGUGAGUAACCUGCCCUGGGCUUUCGGAUAACUUCAGGAAACUGGGGCUAAUACCGGAUAGGAGCUCCUGCUGCAUGGUGGGGGUUGGAAAGUUUCGGCGGUUGGGGAUGGAUUCGGGGCUUAUCAGCUUGUUGGUGGGGUAGUGGCUUACCAAGGCUUUGACGGGUAGCCGGCCUGAGAGGGGGAGCGGCCACAUUGGGACUGAGAUGCGGCCCAGACUCCUACGGGAGGCAGCAGUGGGGAAUAUUGCACAACGGGCGGAAGCCUGAUGCAGCAACGCCGCGUGCGGGAUGACGGCCUUCGGUUUGUAAACCGCUUUCGCCUGUGACGAAGCGUGAGUGACGGUAAUGGGUAAAGAAGCACCGGCUAACUACGUG
rnacentral:rRNA from 1 species